GCAUAUCAAUAAGCGGAGGAAAAGAAACUAACAAGGAUUCCCCUAGUAACGGCGAGUGAAGCGGGAAGAGCUCAAAUUUAAAAUCUGUAAGGUUCAACCUUGCCGAAUUGUAGUUUGAAGAAGUGUUUUCCGCGGCGGCUGCAGUACAAAUCCUUUGGAACAGGGUAUCAGAGAGGGUGAGAAUCCCGUCUUUGACUGCAGACUAGUUGCACUGUGAUACACUUUCUAAGAGUCGAGUUGUUUGGGAAUGCAGCUCAAAAUGGGUGGUAAAUUUCAUCUAAAGCUAAAUAUUGGCAAGAGACCGAUAGCGAACAAGUACCGUGAGGGAAAGAUGAAAAGAACUUUGAAAAGAGAGUUAAAUAGUACGUGAAAUUGUUAAAAGGGAAACGCUUGAAGUCAGUGUUGCCGGCUGAAAAUCAGCUUCCUGCGGAUGGCUUGCUGCGGUGGAGGGAGUGUUAAAACCCCUUGCUGUAGUACAGUUAGCCGGAGGGAGUGCACUUUUUAGUCGGCAGGUCAACAUCAAUUUCAGCCGGUGGAAAAAAGCAAGUGGAAUGUAGGUUGGAGCAAUCUGACUGUUAUAGCCACUAGUGUAUACACCGGCGGGGAUUGAGGACAGCAGUGCAGGCCACUAUGGCGGAAGCUCUGCUCUUUUCUCCGGGGGGCGUGUCAAGACAGCAUGCUGACUUGAUGCGUACACUCUUGGGAACGGGGCGGAUGUACUUCUCCUGCACUAAGGAUGUUGACGAAAUGGCUUUAAACGACCCGUCUUGAAACACGGACC
rnacentral:rRNA from 1 species